AACUCUUUCUAAACAGUUCCUGUUCGUAUUAGCUAAAUAUCUCAUACGGGCCUAAUUGGUCCAAGAUAUUAAACUUAUUUUUGUAAGUGGCGUCCCUACGAAGCUUGUUUCGAGGGUGCUAGGGUCGACCCGGUAUUGCACUACUUCCGGGAGUGGCCCGUCCGGG
rnacentral:snRNA from 1 species